CUCUUCCCUAGAUAUAUGACCAAGAUGGGACAUUGCAGCACUUUAUUGAUGGUGGAGAACCCAGUAAGUCAAGCUGGAUGAGGUACAUCCGAUGUGCAAGGCACUGCGGGGAACAGAACUUAACAGUGGUUCAGUACAGAUCAAAUAUAUUCUACCGGGCUUGUGUAGAUAUCCCUCGUGGCACAGAGCUGUUGGUGUGGUACAAUGACAGCUACACAUCUUUCUUUGGAAUCCCUCUCCAGUGCAUUGCGCAAGAUGAAAAUUUGAAUGUCCCUUCGACUGUAAUGGAGGCCAUGUCCAGACAAGACACCCUACAGCCAUUUAAUAAAAGUAGCAAACUAUCCCCUGCCACUCCACAGCGAUCUGUAGUAUUUCCACAGACUCCGUGUAGCAGAAAUUUUUCUCUCCUGGAUAAGUCUGGGUCCAUCGAGUCAGGAUUUAACCAGAUCAGUGUCAAAAACCAACGAGUUCUUGCAAGCCCAACUUCAACAAGCCAACUAAAUUCUGAGUUCAGUGACUGGCAUCUUUGGAAAUGUGGGCAAUGCUUUAAGACUUUCACCCAACGGAUCCUCUUACAGAUGCAUGUGUGUACGCAGAACCCUGACAGGUAAAACCAGGCUCUCUUUAUUUCUGUAUCUACUGAUAGCGAGAUCCACUGCUUUAUUCUUUUAUCACGCUGUUAUCGUUUCCAAAACUGAACCAUUAUUAGGAGGAGCUUGUACAACAUAAUUCACCUGCAGCUCUGUGAAGUAAGCUGAUAAAAACCAUUGCCUGACUUCACUAUUUGUAAAAACAUUUGUUGCCUAAGUGUACAGAUAAAAGGAAAUAGCUAAGGAUAUAAUGUUUUUGGUUUCUUUUCAGAAUGGUUUGGUACAUCUGUUGGAGGCAGCAAAAUAGAAGGAAAAUUUAUGAAUAUCAUAGAAGGAAAAAUGAGGUCAAGAUAAUUAAAAGUCUCUCUGUCUUCCAAAGAUAAUCUAACUUGCUGCUCAGUGGCUGUCACAGUCAUUUCAGGGUUCACCUAUAGUGUGAAUGUGUAUGAACUUAAUUAAGUACUAAGAGGUAAUGAAUUGGAAUUUUUUGCUUAGUACUAUUUUUCUUCAGAGCAUGCAAACCAUAAAUUGUGCAAAGCUGUCAAAAGGAAAUACCUAGUCUACUAGUGAUGUGGAGGAAAACAGAUGCCACUUAUUCAAUAAACUAAUAUCCACACAGAAGAAAAAUGUUGACUAGAUACCUCAGAGUCAAAGUUGGUUUGAAAGUUUGUCAAUACAGAAUUUUAUGGCCGUGAACUGAGGAUGAAAUUUAGCUGAACAAGUGAAUUAAAAUUUCAGGUACUCUGACCAGUGGCACAGUAAAUAUAAUGGAACCAUUAUUUAUGAAUCAAAGCUGGUUUAUUUGACAAUUUUGAUAGCUGGCGGGACAAAAGACAAAAAUCAAAUUAAUUCAAUAAAUAAGGCUGCCCAAGUUUUGUCUCUUCUUCAGCUGCAAAAGGGUUUGAACAGAACAGAUGAAUCCCUUGGAAGUUAUCCUAAAAACAGCACUUAAUUGUGAAUUACAUUUAAACAAAACACUGUUGAAAUAGCUGUGAGUCUCUGUGUGCAUGUGCUUGUGUCUGUCUCUUUGUAUGCUUGGCUAUCUAUGUAUGUCUGAAACACUGACUUGUCUGAAACUGUGAUUAUGGAGGUACUGGCACAUAACUCCAGUUUUCCAGGAUGACACUUCAAGCAUGAAAAAUUCUAUUCCAUGCAAAUCUUCAUAGAAUUUGAAGAAUUGAUAGUAUCAUGGCUGCAAAAACAUUUCAACAUUUUCUUAUUCCAAUGUUUUCUGGAUGUCAUGCUGGUCUUCAUAGAAAUAUGUGCCACACUGAGGAAGCUGCAGGAUACAAUGGUCAAUUUAGUGCCCCAAUGUAGGAUAUAGGUCCUGAAAGGUCCAGUCUCCCAAGUUUCAUAGACUUCUAUGUUUCCAGUAUUAAAGCACUGUAAGCUCACUACAGAGCACAAAAUGCUGCAUCAGGUCUAGAAGGGGUUUGUUGUGCAGUUCCCAUACAUACUGUCUCAGCAAUACAUUGAGUUAUGUGUGAAGACUACAUUUCAUUCUUUCCUUCACUUGAAUCUGUGUCUCCCUUUAUAAAGUACCAAGCUCAGGUAAUAAUACAUGAAGAGUCUCUUCUAAUAGAGCUCUUUUGCAAUCUAAGGGGCAAUUAAAUCUUCAUUUUUCCAGUGAGAACAUCUGAAGAUAAGUCAGUCUAACAAUAAGCGCUCUCAUCUUGGAGGUGAGAGGUUUGGUUUUGUUAUUCUAUUUUCUUUGAAUUAUUUUGUGACAAAUAUAUAUCAGAACAGAGAAGUAUAACUCCUCCCCUUUGAGGUGAACUCCAUCAUUGAUAGGUUACUGUCUUUCCAUCUUGCCCCUGCAGUGCAUAUCUAAAUUUUCCAUGUAAUGCAGAACAGAUUCACCCAGCAAUUGCAGGGCAUUGUUUCCUCAGGAUACCCUAAAACAUACUAGGCAAAUAAUCUAGAUCAGACAGUAUGUAUUUGCUUCUCUCCCAUAGCAGCAGAGGGAGGGAAGGGUGAUAGAGGAAAAGAACUCAGCAAAUCUGAUGAGGUUUAGGAUGCAGUGGAGAUUAGUUGGUAAGUGAACACUGUGUCAGUAGUGUUGAAAAAUAUAAAUUUACAGGAGGAAGAUUUGAAUCUUAAUACUUAAGGCCACAUUCUCAACGUUCAUGCUAGCUAAUUCCUUGGCUAGUUGUUUUUUUGAAUCCUGUUCUUAAUAGAAAUUUGUAUAUGGUGUUGAACGGAGAGUUUUGAACCUAUCAGAGGAUGCAAGACAAACUUUGGAUCAAUCUGUUGCACAAAUACAGUCACUAUGAUGUUCUGUUUUGUGACAAAGGCAUCUCCUCCGUGCUGAAGAAAGGUUUGAACCUCAGUCUUCUCAUGGAGCCAAUUGUGUAGAUUCCUUGUGGAGGCCAAUUUUGUAAUGUCUUCUUUGUUGAAGUGAAGCACAUCUCAACAAAAGUGUUGUAAAAACAUUUCGUAGGAGCUCUUCUGUGACUGAAGUGGCACGGAUCUGUUUAAGCUCAUUGCAUUUGCAUUACCAGAGUAACAGUUAGUGCAGAUCCCAGCUGUCCUAGGGAUCUAGUUUCUCAUAUUCCUUUUCAGGAAUCUUCGCAGGCUGAAUUUACAUCCUGGCUACCUUUAUGUUGAUAAACAGAUGCUGGCAGAUCAGCUACACAGUGGCAGGGAAAGAGUUGCCCUUUGUUUCUUAAGUGUACAAUAUUUCUCUAGAUGAAAAAUUUCUGAAGUGAAGUUUAAGAUUUACUAGAGUCAAGAAAAUAGGGUAUGAUGGGUGGAGGAAUACCUGCCUGCCGGCCUGCUGGAUGCAACUCUCUGGCUGGUAUUUCCUCACCAAUAUCUGCAGUACUGCUCCUGCUGAUAAACAGCUCCCCAUUUAUUGUCAGCAAUUUGUGAGCACACUGCCAUUCUGUCUUUGAUAUAACUGAAGCAGCAAGGGCUGUCUUCUCUAGGAAAUGGCCUUAGACUAUCUGUUCUGGCUUUGUGUUUGUUUUUCAACAAUGCUGAUUACCUUCAACAUGAGGUACAGGGAAACCUUUGAAUUUCAAUAGGAGUCUGAUUCAUGGGCAGAAAUUUGAGGACAGCAGGAUAUCCAAGGUUUGAGAACUAUUAAAAAAAAUAUACCCCCAAACCAACAAAAUUUACCAAACUUUAAAGCCAUCUGAUUCAGAAAACAUCUGGAUGGGAACAGAGAAGUAGACAGAUGUAAGAAGCCCCAGAUAUAUUUCUUUCUGUUAGACAGUGGGGGGGGAAAAAAAAAAAAAAAAGCAGGGUCUCAUUUGAGAUAUAAGUGAUGUGAUAAAUAAAUACACAUUUUUCAAAAGAGAUGAACCCAGAAUAGGCAGAGUUUUCAAGAUCAUCAGUGUUGUUAUUUUUAGAAUUGUAAUUUAGAUUAAAAUUAACUUCAUGUAAUGGUUUACUUCUGUCUUCCCACUGAGGUACAUUAUAGCCCAUUAAAUGUUUUAGGGUUCUUCUUGGAAGCUAAUAGUAAAUGGAGGUGGAGGAAAUUAGGAAAAUGAAAACUUACAUCCACCUGAGUUCUGAGGCACUUGGUACUUCUUUUAACUACUGGCCAGGCAGAAGUACUCUGAGCAACUGUUCCAUGAAGCAGGAGUCACAAACAGAUUUUCUCCUCAGGUUUCUGUUUGUUUAUUUAUUUGUUACUGUUGUCGCUGUUGCUGUUGUCUAUUGCUUUGUUUUUUUCUCCUGCUGCAGAAUUUUCCAAUGACGCUAUCUGGGGGGCUGCAGAAAGGGGUAUGGAGAAGCCUCUGAGCAAAGUGAAUAAUUUUGUGUGUGUGUGUGUGUGUGUAUAUAAAAUAUAUAUUGAUCUAAAUCACUUUUCUGACAAAGUUUCUUUUAACAGCUUACUUCUUUUUCACUUUGACCACUGCAUUCAAGAUGCACUGUUGCUGGGUAAGGCAGAUGUCUGCAGUUCCCAGGAGCUAACAUGUGGCACCGUUUCUCAUACGACUUGUACAUUUAUGCGAUGUUUAUUGUCAAAGUAUUUAAUCUUGACAAUUUGAGGAAAAACCUUCUCUAUCUAAUUGUGACUGUGACUGAUAAAUCGGGGAUGUCAUUGGGCCCUCUCCAUUCUUGUUUAUUCAAAAGAUCUUUUUAUAUGUGCAUUUUUCGUGUUACACCUCAAAAUUAAAUUGUGAAGGCUUCGUUUCAUUUUGUUUUUAAAACAGGUGCUUGACGUAUUAAAUUACCAAUUUGAAAGUCUUUUUUUCGAAGACCAUGGCCCAGACCAUUCUGUUUUUAUCCUUUUCUUUAUAGGUUCCAUGUCUUUGACCUUGAUGCACGCCCCACGUCCACUAAUUAAUUUAAACAUCUCCUGAAACAGACAAACAAAAAGUAAAUGUGAUCAAGAGUUGUCUAUUUCUGUUUAUAGUGUGGCUAUGGAAUAUUGCUCAAUUAAAGUAAACAUCAUGCUGAAGUUAAUGCUUGUUCUUGCAUAAUCUUUUCACAAAGGUUCACAAACUCCCAGUACUUGUAGUUAAUAAUAACAAAGCGUGCACCGCGCAGCACCUCUCCCUGACAGCUUCAAAAGUCUGACAACACUCACUUGCUCUGACUUUCUGGUUGUGUUAGCUCUUCCGCAAACAUCUGCAGAGACAAUCCGAGGAUCCCCGUUGGGCUCGGCUCCCCACACGUGCUGACGCGGUGCACGAAGUGCUUGGGGCUGUGGCCUUGCUGCGUUAGCAGAACAAGGCAGCAGCAGAGGAUGCAGAGCUAGGCCUGCAAUUACUGUCAGUAGCUUCUCAUGGCCCCACUGGUGCUGGGUAUGCUGCAGUCUGCAGUGCUCUCAGACUCCGCUUUGUUCACCUGCCUCUGAGGUCAGCACUUGUUAGAAGAAGAUCUCCCUGUGAAAUGUCUUUUUACUAGGAAAGCUGUGGCCUAGCUCCUCUGACUGCAGCUGUGCUCUUCACCACUGUUACAGCAUGUUACAGAGAAACAUGGAUUCUGGUUGUGAAAACAGUGCUUGCAGCAUUUCAGCACGGCUUGCUUUCACUUCCACUAGAGGUUGUGCUCUCACAGCUUCCCCUCCCACACCAUGUAGCCAUGUCUGCGGUUCAGCUGCCAAUGCCUGGGCUUGGUGUGCCAUCACAAUGCCCAGACAAGUGCUUUGAUUCCUUCUCCUCAGCCCUUAAGAAAGAGAAAAGCAGUUUCAACUGCAUGUCAGUCUCUCAGUUUGUGUUUUCUGGGAUUUUAAGAUGACAGCAAUGUGCUAGUUUGUCUCCCUGAUGUGACAGCGUUUCAAUGAUAGAAUUAUUGUUAUUCAGGAGUUCACUAUCACAAGAAAUUAAUCUCUUAAAUAUUGCACUGGCAUUCCAAGUAACCUCUGACAACAGCAAGUCUGGUUAUGAAGAGGCCUCUCUGGAAAACAAUUCAUUGUAAAGGAAAGAAUCUGAAAAUUUGGUGGAAAGUAAUUAUAAUAUUUUUCAAGAUCAUAAUAAUUCAGCACAACUCUGAUUUAUGAUUUAGAGUAUAUGUUUAUAUUGGCGGGUGCACUGAGGUCUUGGGGCUGGAGAGUGCAUUGUUCCAGUAGAGGAGCAAUAAAAAGCAAUAGUUGGAGGGAUAUGUUGUUUUUACUAAAUCUAAUAGGAAUAAUUUAAAUGUACAGUUGUCUGUUAGCAGCUAGUUCAGGUGCAAAAAAGUUUAUUUUUCUGUGGUUCCCUCCUAACAUGUUACCUACCUUCCACACAAAGCAUGAUCUUUGGUGGCCUUCAGUGAAACUCAUAGAGGAAUGUGGAUUUUGUACUGGUCCUGUACAAGAUGUAAUUUCGCCUAGAAAAAAUUAAGAUCUAAAAGUAUAUGGCAUAAAAAAAUACAUCGCCAAAUGGCAAAAUUGUUUGAGGGAUUUUCUAAGUUGGGAAGCAUGAAAUGCCUCUGACUGAUUUCAUUUUGAAAAUGUAACUUGAGAACCCUGGAAAAGCUCAAAAUUUAAAUCUCUACAAAUCUUGAAAACUGUUACAUUACAGGUAUCCCAUCCCAGAUUUCACUUUUGUGCGCCAUCAUGUUGUCAGGAAUUGUAAGAUUAUACUCUCUAGAAAAUGCUGAUUGAUGCUACAUGGCAGUAAAGCUACAUAACUGAUUGAUGGUCCAUGGGGUCAAUGACAAGUGUAAUUUUUCUAACAUGAGAGGUUGCUUCUAGGUAAGUAGAUAUUCUUCCUUUAAGCUCAGACAGGAAGACAGAGAACUAGGAAAAUAUGUAAGUAUGUGAUUAAUGAAAAACAUUACAAGUGCUUUUGAUGGCUGUCAGCACAUCACUUUUAGCAGCACAUUUCUGUACAGCAGCUCAGCUGUCCUUAAAUGUCCUUAACAUUCUUAAAAAUACUAGAUGAGAAGAUUUUGAUCAGGCUUGAGUUACAUCCAUAAGAUAGAAAAACAGACAGAUGAAAAAAUCCAAAACUACAUUGCUCCUGGUAAUGAUAGUUAAAUAAUUUUAUAGAAAAAAAAAAACAUUU